rnacentral:rRNA from 1 species
AAACCGGAGCUAAUACCGGAUAAUAUUUUGAACCGCAUGGUUCAAAGUGAAAGACGGUCUUGCUGUCACUUAUAGAUGGAUCCGCGCUGCAUUAGCUAGUUGGUAAGGUAACGGCUUACCAAGGCAACGAUGCAUAGCCGACCUGAGAGGGUGAUCGGCCACACUGGAACUGAGACACGGUCCAG